AUUAAUUAAUAGGUGUGAACUGUUACGUGUUAUAGUAACAUAAUGAUUAUAUUUUGCAGUGAUAGGCCUGUCAAGCUAUUUGAUAACUUGUUGUGUAAGAAAUAUAUUAAGUAUUAGGUCAUACUACUAAAGUUAAGCUUUGUAGGAAGUAUAAAUGUAGAUAAAUGUUUAACGUUAUAGUUUAAUAACUAAACUAUUAUGUAUAGAAAUAUAAAUAAUUAGUAUUUGUAUUUAUUAUUGCACUAUAUAAUUUUUAUUAGUUAUAUUAAUAAUGUAAGUAUGAGUAAUAAAUUAAAUAUAGUAAAGGAACUCGGCAAAUUACUGCUCAACUGUUUAUCAAAAACAUAACUAUAUGAUAUAAUAUAUAGCCCCUCUGCUCAAUGGUACACUAAAUAGCCGCAGUACUCUGACUGUGCAAAGGUAGCAUAAUCAAUUGGCUUUUAAUUAAAGUCUAGAAUGAAUGAAAACAUGGGUAGUGACUGUCUACUAUUAUAUUUUAUUGAAUUUAAUAAGUAGGUGCAAAUGCCUACAUAGUUAAAAAAGACGAGAAGACCCUAGAAACUUGUAUACUUAUUUUGUUGGGGCGACAGAAUUACAAAGAACUAAUUUUAUUUUUACAGGGCGAAAGCAGAUAGAGUAAGUUACUCUAGGGAUAACAGCAUAAUUUUACAGUUUGUGACCUCGAUGUUGGACUAGGUAAAUAAUUUUUUAGAAGGAAAUUUAAAUGCUCUGUUCGAGCAACGUGUACCUACAUGAUCUGAGUU
rnacentral:rRNA from 1 species